AGCCUUAUGGCCUAGUGGUCUAGAGUGCUUGACUCCCUAAUUUUUACCAGAGCCCCGAGUUCAAUCCUCGGUCCUGCCA